CGCGAACGCCGACCCACGAGUCACUCCUCUGUCUUCUUCCCCCGCUCCUCUGUCUCACCCUUUUCCCCUCCCCCGACGGCCUUUAAUCGGCGAGGCAAGCAGAUCCCGGCGACUCCCGGCGAGGGUGGUGGCGCUAGAUGCGCGGUGGGAGGCCCCCGGUUGGCGGUAGAUGGCUGGCGAGGCGGGCAGUGGCGGGCGGAGGCCGCGGCGGUGGUGAACAGUAGUGGUCUAGUGGAUCCGGCUGACGGCGAGGGAAGGCACGGCGGAGGAGGAAGGCGCGCACGGCUGCUGUUGGGGGUUCGAGCUCCGCCGCCACCAGGCCCCCCGUAUGCUCCCACGGGACGGGCCUUGAUUCUGCUACUCGCCCCCGCCGCCACGACGGGCGUCGAGGCCGCCUCCAUUCGGUGCUCCUUGGCGACGACGAGCACCAGACCGGUCUUCGCGACGGCGAAUGGUGGCCAUGGUGAGCCUGCUGCUCGCUCCCUCCGCCGCGGCGGGCGUCGAGGCCGCCUCCAUUCGGGCGCUCCUCGGCGACGGCGCGUGGUGGCCAUGGUGAGCCUGCUGCUCGAGGCAGCUCGCGGGUUCGUCAGCUCCGGCGUGGAGGAUGACUAGAUGCUACUGUGGUGGUGAGCGCCCGCUCACCCCCUGGUCAACCUCCUGCGUCUGGGCGCCCUCCCGUGGGGGGAGGAGAUGGCCGCCGCGGCGUGCAGUCGCGGCCUGCUCCUGCACAACCACCAGCACCAGUGGAGGAGCCGCGGUGGGGAGGUGUUCAUCUACUCUUUUUCUUCGAUGGUACACCUGUACUGACGUCUGAUGAUUUUUUCUUGGAGUUAAUCUACCUGCUAGAAUGCUGAGUACCAUGAGCUUUUUGAACACGAUUUGCCAUGCUUGUGUAUGAAACAGUCCCUAAAAUUUGCUAUGCUACACUAAAAUCUGAGUAGCACACAUUUUCGCCGUGAUUUUUUAGUUACUGAAUUUAUCAUGUGAGCAGUACAGAAUUUUAGGAGUUUGGUCCUAUAAUACAUGGCAAUUUCUAAGCACAAUGUUUAGUAAAACAUCACAAUUUCUUAUAUUAUUACAAAUUCUCACACCAUGACAACUUUAUAAAUUGUUAGUUCAUUCACAUGACACUAUUUUUGAUAGUUUUUGUACUAACAUCAUGGCCCAUCUCAGAUUAUUGUUUCUAAUGGUUAUAUGGCAAAUGUAGGCUAUUUUUUAGAAACUAUGUGUCAUAUGGUCAUAGGGCAAUGAGGUGAUCAUUGCAUUUUAGUAACCAUCUGUCAUCAUUUCAUCAACGCGGUGAUUCACAAAUGACAACUUUAGUUGGUUUUUGCCAUGACAAGCUUAACAUGUGUUCGUGCGUCAUCUUUUUACAACGAUUUUUCCAUGAAAAGGAAAGUGGUUAACCAUGGCAAAUUUUGGUUCAUAGAUCAUGGAAAGUUUCAGUUUCUCAUUAAUUAACCAUGCCAACUUUUUUUUCAUUUGAUCUUGGUAAGUUUAAAAAUUGACCAUCGCAAGUUUAGUUUGUAGAUCAUGGCAAUUUUUAGUUUCAUGUAUUUGCAUGGCAACAUUUCUUUUGGCAAUAUGAUGGCAACUUUAAGUAAAUGACCAUGGCAAAUUAAGUUUACGAUUCAUGGCAAAUUUCAUUAAUUAAACAUGGCAAAAAAAAUCUUUAGUAAAUGACCAUAGCAAUUUUCAGUAAAUGAUGAUGUUUUAGUAAAUGACCAUGGCAAAUUAAGUUUACGAUUCAUGGCAAUUCUUUACUUCUCUUUUUUUUUCAUGACAAAUUUACUUUUAUUUGCCAAAACGAUGGCAAUUCUUAGGAAAUAACCAUGGCAAAUUUAGUUGAAGAAACAUGGCAAAUUUGGUUAAAGAAUAAUGGAAAAUUUAUUUUUCGUAGAUCAUGGUAGUUUUUAAUAUUUGACCAUGGCAACUUUAGUUCAUAGAUCAUGGCAAAUUUUUAAGUAUGGCAUUUUUUUUGUUUCUUUGUGCAACUUGUAAAAAUUACUUUUUAUGUGCGCAUGGAAAAUUUAUCUUUAUGCUCACGGCAAAUUUUUCUUUAUGCAGCACGACAAUUUUUAGUGUACAGACCAUGGCAUUUUUCCUGCUACCACGACAAAUUUUUUUUGAACAAUUUUCAAAAUGUAAUACAAACCAUGGCAAUUUAAUUUAUGUAGCACGGCAAUUUUCUUUUUCCAUUGGACCACGGCAAUUUCUUUGUUUUUGUAAAGCAUAAAAUUUUGCUAGUUACCAUCUACUCCCUCCGUUCGGAUUUAGUUGUCGCGACGGUGUAUUUGCGAAAACCCCCUCCAUCUAUUUCCGACCGAACCCGCGGUCCUCGCGCUUGCUCUCUUCUCCGGCUGGCCGCCGCGGUCCGCUCGGUGCUCUUCUCCGGCUCGCCGCUGCGCUGCCGCCGCGCUCUCCCCCCUCCCCCCACCUUCUAUAGCGUCGCCGCGCUCUCCUCCCCCACCUUCGGUGGCCUCGCCGCGCUCCUCUCCUCCUUCCCGCAGCGAACUUCGAAAAAGCUUGGACCUUUGAGUUCAAGCCGGCGACGGAUUCCGUCGAUGCGAGGCCGAAGGCGCCAGAUCCAGACCACCACCAACACGACGCCGGCAACUGGACGCCACGGGGACGCCGGCGAGCUGCUGUCGUCCACCACGACGCGACGGUGGCGAGUUGGCGCUGUCAGGGACGGACCUGCGGGCAGGAGGAGAGGAAGGCAGCACCCGUCACCGCCGCCAAGCUCCUGGCGCCGGUGGCCGCGAGCUUCAGGGGAUACCUCCUUCCCUGCAUCCUCCUCUGCCGAGGCAGCCGGCGAGGCGCCCCUGCUCUGUCAGCUGGUUCUGAGGCAUCAUCUUGUUGAGGACUCAUGUUGAGAUCAAUCCCAAACAUCAUUGCGGCGGUGGACCACUUGCUCAGAUGAAGGAAGCCUUUGAUCCGCCCGCCCCGGUGGCAGCAGCAACGCCAGAAGCAGAUAACGGCGCCUCCAUCUUCACGAGGAAAAACAUUUGGAGUGAUGCGGCUGCCGAGGGAGACGACGACAAUUCCUCGCCUUGGCCAUGGGACGGUGUGAAAAGUGAAGAGGAUGCUGAUUUUCUUUCUCAUGCAAACAGGGCUUUGUCGUUUCUGAGCAAGGAGCGGCAGCAAUUUCAGAUUCUUUGAGAAAAUUUCAGAGCAAGGAGCAGCAGCGGCAACCUGUAACUUCUUCAGAGAAGAACUCGAAGGCAGGGAAGCAGCAGCAGCUCGAGCUCCACCGGCUGCAGGGGAGAAGCAGAAGCACGAGCUCGACCGGCUGCAGAAGCAGAAGCAGAAGCACGAGCGCCGCCGUUUUUUGUUCACCGGAGGAGCUACCGUGACGAACUUCAGCGGCGGCAAGCAGCGACCGGAUUGGGAGGGGACGGCGGCGAUUCAGUUGAUUCGUGGCUUUCCGACAAGCGUGGCUCGAGGCGGGCGUAGCUCUCGGCGCGGCGGAGCUCGGACUGGCUCGGGGAGGACCGAGGUCGCCCGUCGGCGUCGAGCUCGUGGGGGGAAGCGGCGGUCGUGGUGGGAGGAGAUGGCCUCGAUUCCGUUGAUCCACGGCCGGAGGCAGCGGAGGAGCUUCAGGAGAUUUUUGGCAGGGGAUAAGGAUCGGGAUCAGGCCGGCGGGCGGAGCUCUACUGGCCUGUAGCCUCGCCGGCGGCCGAUUCUUCACGCGCGAGCCGUGCACGCCUGUCAUCGUCUAUUUUUGUACAAUUUGAAAAUGCGCAGGGGGUUUCUUGUAAAUGUUUCGUAGUUCAAAUUUAAGAACCCCCACGACAUCUAAAUCCGAACGGAGGGAGUAUCAUGGCAUUUCUCUUGUUCUUUAGGUAGUGUGUGGUAGUCUUAACAAUUACAGUAUAACAAUCGAUGGCAAUUUCUAGAAUUUUGAGGCAUUUUUAUUGUACAGUUUUUUCAGCUGGUUUUCCU
rnacentral:rRNA from 1 species